rnacentral:rRNA from 1 species
UACGUAGGGGGCAAGCGUUGUCCGGAAUCAUUGGGCGUAAAGCGCGUGUAGGCGGCCAGGUAAGUCCGUUCUGAAAGCCCGGGGCUCAACCCCGGGAGGCGGAUGGAUACUGCUUGGCUCGAGUCCGGAAGAGGCGAGUGGAAUUCCUGGUGUAGCGGUGAAAUGCGCAGAUAUCAGGAGGAACACCGGUGGCGAAGGCGGAUCUCUGGGCCAUUACUGACGCUGAGGAGCGAAAGCGUGGGGAGCGAACAGG